UACAGGGGGGGCAAGCGUUGUUCGGAAUUACUGGGCGUAAAGGGCUCGUAGGUGGCCAACUAAGUCAGACGUGAAAUCCCUCAGCUUAACUGGGGAACUGCGUCUGAUACUGGAUGGCUUGAGUUUGGGAGAGGGAUGCGGAAUUCCAGGUGUAGCGGUGAAAUGCGUAGAGAUCAGGAAGAACAUCGGUGGCGAAGGCGCUCUGCUGGACCAUAACUGACACUCAGGGACGAAAGCUAGGGGAGCGAAUGGG
rnacentral:rRNA from 1 species